rnacentral:rRNA from 1 species
AGAGUUUGAUCCUGGCUCAGGAUGAACGCUAGCGACAGGCUUAACACAUGCAAGUCGAGGGGCAGCACAGGUAGCAAUACCGGGUGGCGACCGGCGCACGGGUGAGUAACGCGUAUGCAACUUACCUAUCAGAGGGGGAUAACCCGGCGAAAGUCGGACUAAUACCGCAUGAAGCAGGGAUCCCGCAUGGGAAUAUUUGCUAAAGAUUCAUCGCUGAUAGAUAGGCAUGCGUUCCAUUAGGCAGUUGGCGGGGUAACGGCCCACCAAACCGACGAUGGAUAGGGGUUCUGAGAGGAAGGUCCCCCACAUUGGUACUGAGACACGGACCAAACUCCUACGGGAGGCAGCAGUGAGGAAUAUUGGUCAAUGGCCGAGAGGCUGAACCAGCCAAGUCGCGUGAGGGAUGAAGGUUCUAUGGAUCGUAAACCUCUUUUAUAAGGGAAUAAAGUGCGGGACGUGUCCCGUUUUGUAUGUACCUUAUGAAUAAGGAUCGGCUAACUCCGUGCCAGCAGCCGCGGUAAUACGGAGGAUCCGAGCGUUAUCCGGAUUUAUUGGGUUUAAAGGGUGCGUAGGCGGCCUUUUAAGUCAGCGGUGAAAGUCUGUGGCUCAACCAUAGAAUUGCCGUUGAAACUGGGGGGCUUGAGUAUGUUUGAGGCAGGCGGAAUGCGUGGUGUAGCGGUGAAAUGCAUAGAUAUCACGCAGAACCCCGAUUGCGAAGGCAGCCUGCCAAGCCAUGACUGACGCUGAUGCACGAAAGCGUGGGGAUCAAACAGGAUUAGAUACCCUGGUAGUCCACGCAGUAAACGAUGAUCACUAGCUGUUUGCGAUACACUGUAAGCGGCACAGCGAAAGCGUUAAGUGAUCCACCUGGGGAGUACGCCGGCAACGGUGAAACUCAAAGGAAUUGACGGGGGCCCGCACAAGCGGAGGAACAUGUGGUUUAA